AUUAGAGUUUGAUCAUGGCUCAGAUUGAACGCUGGCGGAAUGCUUUACACAUGCAAGUCGAACGGCAGCACGGGGGCAACCCUGGUGGCGAGUGGCGAACGGGUGAGUAAUACAUCGGAACGUGCCCAGUCGUGGGGGAUAACGUAGCGAAAGCUACGCUAAUACCGCAUACGAACUGAGGUUGAAAGCGGGGGAUCGAGACCUCGCGCGAUUGGAGCGGCCGAUGGCAGAUUAGGUAGUUGGUGGGGUAAAGGCUCACCAAGCCGACGAUCUGUAGCUGGUCUGAGAGGACGACCAGCCACACUGGGACUGAGACACGGCCCAGACUCCUACGGGAGGCAGCAGUGGGGAAUUUUGGACAAUGGGCGCAAGCCUGAUCCAGCCAUUCCGCGUGCAGGAUGAAGGCCCUCGGGUUGUAAACUGCUUUUGUACGGAACGAAAAGGCCUUUUCUAAUACAGAGGGCUCAUGACGGUACCGUAAGAAUAAGCACCGGCUAACUACGUGCCAGCAGCCGCGGUAAUACGUAGGGUGCAAGCGUUAAUCGGAAUUACUGGGCGUAAAGCGUGCGCAGGCGGUGAUGUAAGACAGGUGUGAAAUCCCCGGGCUUAACCUGGGAACUGCAUUUGUGACUGCAUCGCUGGAGUGCGGCAGAGGGGGAUGGAAUUCCGCGUGUAGCAGUGAAAUGCGUAGAUAUGCGGAGGAACACCGAUGGCGAAGGCAAUCCCCUGGGCCUGCACUGACGCUCAUGCACGAAAGCGUGGGGAGCAAACAGGAUUAGAUACCCUGGUAGUCCACGCCCUAAACGAUGUCAACUGGUUGUUGGUCCUUCACUGGAUCAGUAACGAAGCUAACGCGUGAAGUUGACC
rnacentral:rRNA from 1 species